CGGGAUCAAUCAAAGCAAUAACAUCUAUAUCAUGAAGAGAAAAUGUACCAGUAAUCACAUCGGGAGAUGAGGCAUCCUCUCGAGCACGUAUGGCAUAAGUCCUGGCAGGCGCUCUAAUUUCUGAUCCUCCAGCUGCAUCUUUCAUCACACUUUUACCACUGACUUUGCUUCCCACAUUUCUCGGCGGUCUCCCUCUACUAACAAUAUCACCCGAUCCAGCUCUUGGCAAAUUUUCUUCCUCUCUUCUCUCAGGGCAAUCUCUUACAUAAUGCUCUUGGGAACUACACCUGAAACAAGCUCGUUUAAAUCCCCAACACUCACCAAUAUGUCGCCUGCCACACUGUUGACAUUCAGGCCGGGUGUUUCCUACAUUGCCCACACUUGCUACAGAGGUAGCUCGAGUUGUAGCUCCAGAAUACGACCUCCC
rnacentral:lncRNA from 1 species